GUAGUAACAGGGCUGUGUGGUGGGUCAUCAGGUAGUAACAGGACUGUGUGGUGGGUCAUCAGGUAGUAACAGGACUGUGUGGUCGGUCAUCAGGUAGUAACAGGACUGUGUGGUGGGACAUCAGGUAGUAACAGGACUGGGUCACCAGGUAGUAACAGGACUGGGUCAUCAGGUAGUAACAGGACUGUGUGGUGGGUCAUCAGGUAGUAACAGGACUGGGUCAUCAGGUAGUAACAGGACUGUGUGGUGGGUCAUCAGGUAGUAACAGGGCUGUGUGGUCGUGUGCUGAGUCAUCAGGUAGUAACAGGGCUGUGGGGUGGUGUGCUGAGUCAUUGGGUAGUAACAGGGCUGUGUGGUGGUGUGCUGAGUCAUUCGGUAGUAACAGGGCUCUGGGGUGGUGUGCUGAGUCAUUAGGUAGUAACAGGGCUGGGUGGUGGUGUGCUGAGUCAUUAGGUAGUAACAGGGCUGUGGGGUGGUGUGCUAAGUCAUUGAGUAGUAACAGGGCUGUGGGGUGGUGUGCUGAGUCAUUGAGUAGUAACAGGGCUGUGGGGUGGUGUGCUGAGUCAUUGAGUAGUAACAGGGCUGUGGGGUGGUGUGCUGAGUCAUUGAGUAGUAACAGGGCUGUGUGGUGGUGUGCUGAGUCAUUAGGUGGUGUGCUGAGUUACUCUGUGUAGAUGAUGACUGUUGAUUGAUGUG
ensembl:lncRNA